rnacentral:rRNA from 1 species
UACGUAGGGUGCAAGCGUUGUCCGGAAUUAUUGGGCGUAAAGAGCUCGUAGGCGGUUCGUCGCGUCGGCUGUGAAAACCCGGAGCUCAACUCCGGGCCUGCAGUCGAUACGGGCGGACUUGAGUGUUGCAGGGGAGACUGGAAUUCCUGGUGUAGCGGUGAAAUGCGCAGAUAUCAGGAGGAACACCGGUGGCGAAGGCGGGUCUCUGGGAAGUAACUGACGCUGAGAAGCGAAAGCGUGGGUAGCGAACAGG